CAGUCGCCGCGGUAAAACGGAGGGGGCUAGCGUUGUUCGGAAUUACUGGGCGUAAAGCGUACGUAGGCGGCUUUGUAAGUUAGAAGUGAAAGCCUGGUGCUCAACACCAGAACUGCCUUUAAGACUGCAUCGCUUGAACGUCGGAGAGGUGAGUGGAAUUCCGAGUGUAGAGGUGAAAUUCGUAGAUAUUCGGAAGAACACCAGUGGCGAAGGCGGCUCACUGGACGACUGUUGACGCUGAGGUACGAAAGCGUGGGGAGCAAACAGGAUUAGAUACCCGAGUAGUCCCUGUCUCUUAUAC
rnacentral:rRNA from 1 species